rnacentral:misc_RNA from 1 species
AACUUCUUGGAGAUGCAUAUCUGAAAUGGGUUGUUAGUCGGUAUCUUUUUCUUAAGUAUCCCCAGAAACAUGAAGGCCAACUCACCAGGAUGAGACAGCAAAUGGUAAGCAACAUGGUACUGUAUCAAAAUGCCUUGAGUAAGGGAAUCCAGUCGUAUAUCCAAGCAGAUCGAUUUUCUCCAUCAAGAUGGGCCGCUCCUGGGGUGUUGCCUGUCUAUGACGAGGACCUCAAUGAGGAUGAAACAUCGAUAUUUGAUCAUGAAACAGCAGAAAAUGGUACUGUAGCAGCAAAGGCUCUAGCUGGUGAUGAGUUUGAAGAUGAGG